rnacentral:tRNA from 1 species
UGGGGCGGAUGUAGCCAAGUGGAU